rnacentral:lncRNA from 1 species
GGGUGAGUAAAACUAGAGAAAAGUGUGAGUAGACCCAAAGCAAAGGGUGUGUAAGUCCGGAGUAAAUAGUGAGUAAAGCUGUAGUAAUUUCUGUGUAAACACAAAGUAAAGUUGUGAGUAAAAUAAAUGGUGUACAUUGUUAGGAAACACGGAGUAAAGUGUGAGUAAACCCAGAGAAAAGAAUGAGUACACCUGGACAGCAGUCUGAGUAAACCCAGAUUAAAGGGUUGGUAAAGGUAGAGUAAAGUACGAGUAAUACCCAGAGUAAGGUGUGACUAAACCCAAAGAAAAUUGUGAGUAAACCCAAAGUAAAGGAUGCGUAACCAUGAAGUAAAGAGAGAGUAAACCUGGAGUAGAGGGUGAACAAAGCUUGGAGAAAAGUGUGAGGAAACAUGGAGUAAAAUAUGUGUAAAACCUUGUGUAGAAUGUGUGUAAAACCUGAUGUAAAGUGUGAGUAAAGCUAGAGAAAAGUGUGAGUAAACCCAAAGUAAAGGGUGUGUAAGCCCGGAGUAAAUAGUGCGGAAACCUGGUGUAAAUUGUGAGUAAACCCAAAGUAAACAUAUGAGUUAAACCUGGCAUACAUUGCUAGGAAACCCGGUGUAAAGUGUGAGUAAAGUGAGAGUAAAGUGAGAGUAAACCUAGAGAAAAGUGUGAGUACACCAGGAUUAUAGUGUGAGUAAGCCCGGAAUAAAGGGUUAGUAAAGCUAGAGUAAAGUGUGAGUAAUACCCUGAGUAAGGUGUGACUAAACCCAAAGUAAAGUGUGAGUAAACCCGGAGUAACUUGUGCUUAACCAUGUAGUAAAGAGUGAGUAAACCUGGAGUAAAGAGGGAACAAAGCUUGGAGAAAACUGUGAGGAAACAUGGAAUAAAGUAUGUGUAAACUGUGGUGUAGAAUGUGAGUUAAACCUGAUGUAAAAUGUGAGUAAAGCUAGAGAAAAGUGUGAGUAAAACCAAAGUAAAGCGUAUAUAAGCCCGGAGUAAAUAGUGAGGAAACCUGGUGUAAAUUGUGAGUAAACCCAAAGUAACCUUGAGGGUAAAACCUGGAGCAUCUUGUUAGGAACCCCGGAGUAAAUUGUGAGUAAAGCCCUGAGUAAAGUGACAGUAAACCCAGAGAAAAGUAUGAAUAAACCUGGAGUGAAGUGUGUGAAACCCCGGAGUAAAGGAUUAGUAAAGCUUGAAUAAAGCGUGUGUAAUACCCAGAGUACGGUGUGUGUACACCAGAAGUAAAGUGUGAUUAAACUCGGAGUAAA